GUGUGUGUGUGUGUGUGUGUGUGCUUGCCUGAAGUGUGUAUGGAUGGAUGGAUGUUAACUCUGAAGAGACGUGAGCCACAUAAUGUUUACUGUAGACGUAUUGUCCCCCUUACUGUGAGCACAAAGAUGGCUGAAAUGUAAAUGUAUGUACCUUACUAUAAAAUAUGGCAAGUUCUGA